rnacentral:lncRNA from 1 species
GUUUGUGUUGUUUGUGGAUGACCCCAAGUCUUCCCUUUUAUAGGACAAGGUUAAGACUUAUAACUCUUAUUCAUUCAAGAGUUACAUCACCCCUUAUCCUAUAACUCCCACUCCAUUCAAGAAUACAUAACUCUUCUUCUUUUACUAUAGGGAGUUAUUUAGUGGAGUUGUAACUUACAUCAUUAAUGAAGCAAGUUACUAGGCAACCCAUCAAUGGGUGUAUCUAUUUCCAACAUCUCCCACUCACACAUGAUGGGAUGAAACACAUAGGGCUUUAAUUUGAAAAGUAAAUUCCUUUAGACAUUCAUACCAAGUGUAUUGUCGUGACCGCUCAGACACUAAGUUUGGGAGCUCUUUUUUCUAGAUCAACAUAAGAGACUACCACCCUUUUAUGAUCAUUUAUGAUAUAUUAUCAUGUCAUAUAAAGUGCCUUAGAUGCCCCAGACAUGUCUAUAUACACAUAUGGCUUCUUUUAACCCUCUUUCCAUUUUCAAUUUUCAUAUGCCUUGUGUCCAUACUUAUGAUGCUAACUAAAAUAGGCUUCAUAAUGGACUGGUCUCAAACACAAGCAUAAUGUGUAUAUAUUUGACACGAUCUUCCUUUCGCCCACAUAUCACUAAGAUUAGGAUUAAUUGCUUUCCUAGCAUUACUCAUUCAGGUCGUAUUUUCAUAACCUUUAGAUUCAUACUAAAGUAGCAUACACUAACCCAUCACCUCAUGAUAUUGUCAAAGUCAUAAGGGCACUAGUGGAAAAAAAAACUUUUCAAGGUCUCACAUAAAAGUGAAGUAGGGUGUAUUCACUUACCUUUCAAUUUGCGGUAAUGAAGCACAUGCAAUAUGAAAUGCAUGUUACAGUGUGCCUCUGAUUCCAUCAGAGUGUAUGUCGAUUUUCAUUUCUUCACACUGUACAAAUCUUGGUCCAAGUAAAUCAUUUACUUGACCUGAGUUCUACCACUCUAUUGUACUUUUAGAGGAGAUCUCACAUCUGGCUACAAGUAUUAUGGGUAGUGGGAAUCCAUAAUUUCGAUCCUUUUUUACAUUUCUCUUGGAUCUCAUCCUAGUCUUUUACUAGGGCGACUUUAAAUAAUAUGUUCUUAAUCGAAGGUGCCACAUAUAUUAGCUAACCUUUUUUAGUGUUAAGAAACACAUAUGUCUCAUCUUGGCUCACUUUCCAUAAGCGCCCAAGGCGGUUGCUCAUGUGAGGAAGCCAACCUUAUCAACUUGUACGACAUACUCUAAUAUUGUGAAUGUGCUAAUCAAUAAUAAUGUAUGAAAUAACCAUAAAAAAAACAUCAAAAAGAUAUUCAUACAUUAGGAUCAAGAUGUUCAAAUAAGGAAAUAUAUCAUUUUACAUCCCACGCAAGCCUAGAGAUUUCACAUGUUUAACAAAGACAUCUCUAGGUAUUGGCUUUGUUAAGGGAUCCGCUACCAUCUUGUGUGUAGAAAUGUAAUGUAAAGCGGUUUCCUUACGUGCUAUGAUGUCUCUAACAAAAUUAUACUUUCUAUCUAUGUGCUUAGUCUUACUAUGAUACUUAGGGUCUUUAGUAUAUGCCAUUGCUGCUUGGCUAUCACAAAAAAAAUUGCAUUGCAUCCAUUGACAUGCCAAUGAUCCCUAAGUGUUCCAUGAACUUAGCCAUACAGCUUCUUGUACUGUUGUAGAGCAUGCAAUGAACUCUGCUUCCAUAGUUGAUAAAGCUAUACAUGUUUGUUUCUUGCUACUCCAUGAAAUGGUACCAUUGUUAAGCAAAAAAACAUAACCAGAAGUGGACUUUCUUUCAUCUAUGUAUCCACCCCAAUCAGCAUCAGAGUAGCCCCCAACUGUAAGUCACUUCCUUGAUAACAUAAUUUGUAAUCAACAGUGCCCCUUAAGUAUCUCAAGAUUCUCUUAACAGCUUUCCAAUGUGUUUGUCCUGGAUUGGAUUGAUAACGGCUAACAAGACCCGCUGCAUAACAAAUAUCGGGACGUGUACACAACAUUGCAUACAUUCAACUCCCAAUUUCACUUGAAUAUGGGACCCUCUUCAUGGCAUCUUUUUCAAUUUGAGUUUUGGGACAUGUUUCAAGGCUUAAAUUUUCACCUUUAGCUACAGGGGUGUCUAUUGAUUUACAGUCUCUCAUCCUGAAUCGUUCAAGAAUUCUUUCAAUGUAUGAUUCUUGUGAUAAAGUUAUUAAAUUCUUAGGGAGAUUUCUAUGAAUUUUAACUCCAAGGAUGAAUUCUGCUUCUCCCAUGUCCUUCAUUUCAAAAUUUAGGGACAACCAACUCUUUAUAGCCUUUACAAAAGUAAGACUAUUUCCAGCUAAUAUAUGUCAUCCACAUAAAGGGAAUAUCAUAAAAUCAGUUUCAGACCGCUUCAUAUACACACAAUGGUCUUCAUCGAUCAUAUUAAAGUUGCAAGACGUAAUAGCGUGAUGAAAUCUUAAGUACCAUUGUCUAUAUGAUUGUUUAAGUCCAUAAAUAGACUUUUUGAGCUUGCAAACUUUGCGCUCUUGACCAUUUUGGAUAAAACCUAAUGGUUGUUCCAUAUAAAUUUCUUCAUCUAGUUCUCCAUUGAGAAAUGUCGUCUUUACAUUCAUUUGAUGUAACUCCAAGUUCAUACUUGCAACUAUAGCUAAAAUCAGUCUAAUAGAGCUAAAUCUCACAACGGGAGAGAAAGUAUUUUCAUAAUCAAUGCCCUCUUGUUGUGUGUACCCCUUAGCCACCAAACGAUCUUUGUAGCGUUCAAUUACACCAUCCGCCUUUCUUUCAAUAUUGAGAACCCAUUUAUUCCCAAUUGUCUUUCGACUUGGCGGAAGAUCAACCAAAUCCCAAACAUGAUUUGUCCUCAUGGACUCCAUUUCCUCUUUCAUUGCUUUUAUCCACUUAUCCUUAGUAAGGCCUGAAAAAGCCUUUUGAACUGAAUUAGCCUCUUCAUCAUCUUGCGGAGUAACUAUUAAUGUUUCCCCUUCGAUAUGAAAUCAACGUCGGGGUAUAGUUCCUCAUGUACUCUUCCACACAUGUGUCUCUUGUGGAAUAUUCUCUAAAUGAGUAAUUCUCCCACUUUGAUCAGCAAGAGAAGGUACAAUUUCUUGUUCCUCACUUCUUUGAUCUUGAAGAUUUUCUUGAUGAUCCACAACUUCAUAAAAUGACACAGUUCUAUCAAUAUCACCCUUACUAGGAAAUUCAGUCUCUAAAAAAUGUGGCAUCUCGUGACUCAAACUUUGUUAUACUUCCAUCUUCAUUUUCUCCUAUGAAGAUAUAACCCUUUGAUUGCUUUGAAUAGCCAAUGAAGAUGCAUUUCUUGCCCCUAGGGCCUAACUUCCCAUAGUUAUGAGAAGAAUCAUGCACGUAUGCGGCAAACCCCAGGGUCGCAAUAUAUUUAAGUCAGAUUUUCUACCCGUCCAUAAUUCAUAGGGUGUGGAAGCAACGGACUUAGAGGGCACACGGUUAAGCACAAAAGCUGCAGACAUCAAUGCGUCUCCCCAAAAAGAAAUUGGCAAGUUAGCAUGCGCCAUCAUAGACCUAACCAUCUCAAGCAAAGUUUUAUUUCUUCGCUCAGCUACUCCAUUUUGUUGAGGAGUGUAUGAAAUUGUUAAUUGUCUUACAAUUCCUUUUUCAUCACAUAGAUCCUUAAAUUGAUCUGAUAGAUACUCACCCCCACGAUCAGUUCUUAAAGCUUUUAUUCUUAACUUUAAUUGAUUCUCCACCAAAUUCAUAAAUUGUCUAAAGCAUUCCAUUGCUUCUGACUUAUGGGAGAUCAAAUAAACAUGACCGUGACGAGUAUAAUCAUCUAUAAAUGUGAUGAAAUAUGAGGCUCCAUGCCUCUCCCUCACACUCAUAGGACCACAUAUAUCUGAAUAGAUGAGUUGCAAUGGACACUCAGCUCUAGUUCCCUUUCCAAAUGGUUUUCUAGUCGAUUUUCCUGCUAGACAAUGUUCACAUAUUGACAUUUUCAAUUUUUAGUUAAGGACCCCCAACAAUCCUUCCCUUUGCCAAUCUAUUCAUUCUUUCAAGGCCUAUAUGUCCUAGUCUAGCAUGCCAACUAUUUAUAUCUAAAAUUGGAGUUGUUGUUAAAGCAAAACAACCAUGAUUAUUAGAUAUAUAACUAAAAUCACAAAUUGUGUCCAACACAAUAAAACCAUAAAAAAGGUAACCAGAACCAUAAUAUUUAGUGCCAUAAAUAAUGUCAACAGAAUUAUUGUGAAAAUUCACACUGGAACUUAAUUUAAGAAGAGAAACAACUGAAACUAAAUUCCGCCGAAUGUCUGGAACACAUAAGACAUUAUGUAGGAGAAGGAUUCGUCUACCUUGCAACUCUAGUUUGCAUAUUCUGAUCCCUUUCACUUCAAUUGAUGCAUUGUUUCCUACAUAAAGCCAUCUGCUCCUGGAAGGCAGUCUGCGGUAUUCAAGAAAUGAUCCUCUAUCUCUAGCUAUGUGGUAUGUGGCUACUGAGUCAACAGUCCACAAAGUAUUAGCAUCUGCCAUUAAUGCAGUACUAGAGACAUAAGCAAAAUAUGGAGUUUUAGUGCAUGAUGUUACCUUAUUCUGCUCCAGGCAAUCCGGCACAAAAUGACCCAUCUAGUGACAAGAAUAACACUCCACUUUGGCCAUAUCAAUCUUCUUAGCACCACGUUUUCCUCUCUUCUUAAAUUGAGAUUUAUCCUUCUGAUUUGACUUAUCAGACCCCUUUUUCUUCCAUGCUUUCUUGUUCUUGUUCUUUUGCUUAGGAUUAGAAGUCCCAGCAGAUUCAGCUAGAAAAGCUUGAUCAGUUGCUUUAGAAGCCUCACGACGCUCAUCUUCAAGAACAAGAUGGUGCUCAAUGUCUUCAAAAGACUUGAUGCUUUCAUUGUGGGUCAUAUGAAUUUUCAUAUAUUCCCAACUAGCACGAAGAGAUCUUAUAACAACUUGCACUUUUUGUUCAUCAGAAAGUUUAUGACCAGCUGAUUUUAGUUCUCGUAUCAUAUUUGAUAUCUCUCUUAAAUGUUGUCUUAUUGAUGAAUUAGGGCGGAGUCUAUAGGUGUCAAACUUAAUGGUCAACCUCCUAAGUUUUGUAGCAGAAGUGCCACCAAACUUAUCUUUCAGUGCUAUCCACAUGGCUUGGGCCGUUGGAUAAGAUUUGAACUCACACAUAAGAUCAUCAGCCAUACUACUCAGCAACGUUAUGCGAGCAAUAAUAUUUUUCUUCUUCCAGACUUGAAAAGUCUCAAUAUUUCUCUCAUGUUGUUUGGUGUCUUCACCCGCCGGCUCAACCAUCACAUGGUUUAGGGUCUCCAAAACCUCUUGCUCUUCAAGAAUGUAUUGAAUCUUACGGUGCCAAAUGUCAUAAUUAUCACCAUUUAAUUUUUCACCCUUAUUCAAUUAAGCAAUAAUAGUCUUUGAAGCCAUUUUAUAAACUUAUCUUCUUGUUAUAAGAUCAAGUGCUAUCACCACCAAUUGCCUAAGCGGUUUCUUACAAGAUCACUAUGUAGUCUUGUAUUGUUUUUCACAACAACUACACUCUUUGUCUAAGGAACUCUUUUCUUGUGUUGUUUGUGUUGUUUGUGGAUGACCCCAAGUCCUCCCUUUUAUAGGACAAGGUUAAGACUUGUAACUCUUAUUCAUUCAAGAGUUACAUCACCCCUUAUCCUAUAACUCCACUCCAUUCAAGAAUACAUAACUCUUAUUCUUUUACUAUAGGGAGUUAUUUAGUGUAGUUGUAACUUACUUCAUGAAUGAAGCAAGUUACUAGUCAACCCAUCAAUGGGUAUAUCUAUUUCCAACAUCAUAGUGCUACAUUAACAAGGCGAAGCCAUUCAUGACAUCCACCAAAUAAUAUAUUUACAAUAAUUUUUAAUUUUAGGUCCUUUUUACAUAAGGUCUUCAUUUUUGCACAUAAAAUAUCUAAACAGUUAUUUUCUUCUGUUAAAUUUA